AGCCCAAGUCAGACGCUUAACUGACGGAGCCACCCAGGUGCCCCAAUCCUUCUUUGUUUCUUAAUAUCACUUGUGAUACCCAAGGAAUGGCAAAUAUGAGCAAUAGUAUGGGGACCUUCAGUGCAUAUCGGGUAUGCUUUAUUGAUUAAUUCGUUUAAUCUCUUUCUACUCUUAGGACAUUGCAGGCAAACGGAGCGACAUGUAGAACAGCAGAAGCAAGGAACUGCAGAACUCGUUAAUUCAAAUGCAACAUGGCGAGGUUCCAUAGCAGCCCACGUGGACGUUGUGAGGGUAAAAAAGGAGGAAAUGCAUUUUACAUACAUAAGGUCAUAAGGGGACCACUGCCUUCUGAAUGAAUAUGAGUAUCUUCAUGGAAAAAAUAUCUUGAGAGGAAAAAAAGGUUACUGAAUUUAUUAUUUUUUAAAAUUUUUCUGAAGUUUAUUUACUUUUUUUUUUUUUUUGAGAGAGAGAGAGAGAGAGAGAGAGAGAGAAUGAGAGAGUGCAGGCAGGAAAGGGGCAGAGAGAGAGGGAGAGAGAGAGAGAAUCCCAAGCAGGCUCCGCACUGCCAGUGCAGAGCCUGAUGUGGGGCUUGAACCCACGAACCGGGAGAUCAUGACCUGAGCCAGAAUCAAGAGUCAGACGCUUAACUGACUGAACCACCCAGGUGCCCCCAAACCACUGAAUUUAUAUUAGAAAAUCCAGUGGAAGUGAUCAGGACAGCAAAGUGGAAUCACGGUCCUUAGGAGCAAGAGGGAAUUAGAGAUAGUAUAG
rnacentral:lncRNA from 1 species